GACGACGACGACGCCAGCAGAUGGGCAAGUAUAAGUUACGUCGCGCGAGAAAAGCUCCGUUGCGCGCGCACUCCAUCAGCAUCGCAGAACAAUGAAAGAGAGAGAGAGAGGGUUGAACUUGCGCGUGUCCGUGCUUUGCCGAUGGCCGCACAUAAAGAGAGGAGCUUCGCGUGACAUUUCGCCGCGGCGAUCCUCAGUUGCAAUCGAGUCGCGUCGCGCGAGCCCUCGCGUCUCUCUACGGGGACGACGACAAAAAAAACAAACAAAUCCAAGUUCAGGCAAAGUUGCUCCUGUGUGCGGCAGUCUAAAAACCGAGGUCAUUGGGAUAGAGGAACCAUCCAUCUCUCUGAAAUCAUCGUCCAUAAUCAUAUAUUCGAAAUCCAUUGACUCGAAUAUAUCAUACUCGCUAUCAUCACUCAUUCAUUCCUCCAGUG
rnacentral:misc_RNA from 1 species